rnacentral:lncRNA from 1 species
ACUUCCCACAACUUCCUAAACCUGAACUACCUAAGCCCAAUAUUUCAGAAAUCCCUAAACCUCAAGUUCCGCAACUCCCUAAACCUGAAAUCCCACAAGUGCCCAAGCCUGAAUUUCCGCAAGUGCCUGAGCCUGAGAUCCCACAAUUGCCUAAGCCCGAGAUCCCUCAAGUUCCAAAGCCUGAAGUUCCACAACUCGCUAAACCCGAGAUCCCACAGUUGCCUAAGUCUGAAGUUCCGCAACUCGGUAAACCCGAGAUCCCGCAAUUGCCUAAGCCAGAAGUUCUAGAGCUCCCUCAACCUGAGCUCCCAGUACCUCCUCAAAAUGUCAAACCCACGAAAUUGCCUACUCCUUCUGCAAAAUUUGAAGUGCCAGAGCUUCCAAAAC